AACAAAACAAGAAAAAACAACCAAACUUUAUUGAGAAAAAAAGUCUGGAGCCAUGCCUGUCCAAAUGUCCAAAUAGCCUUAGCCAACCUUAUUUAUACUUUGUUCAACUAUUCUUGGAAUUUUUUAAAAUUUCUCUAAUAUUGGAUUCCACCAAGAUAACAAUCUUUUUAGAAGACUCUACAGAUAGGCUCCACCAUGAUAACUGCCCUAAAUCUUUUUAAAAGAUUUUAUAGUAGAUUCCAUAUAAACCACCAUCCUAACUUCAAUUCUAAAACUUUCCAAAAAACAAUUCCAAUUACAUAUUUUUAUGUGCGUUGUGAGGGAAAGGAGAGUUUGCCUUAAGAAAGCGCUAGGCUUUUGGCUGACACUAAAUUCUCAAUUAAUCAUAAGAUGAAAAAUACUCCAAGAUUAUUUAUAAUUUUAUUUGUAUUCCUUUCUAUGAUAUUAAACAUAGUAGCAAUAAACAUCAAAUGUCAAGCCUCUAAUAAUAAUAAAAGUUGUAGCAGUAAAUAAUAAUUAUUGGACUUCUAGUAAUAGUAAAAGUUAUAGCAAUAAAUAAUAAUUACCAGACUUCUAGUAAUAGUAAAAUUUGUAGCAAUAAAUAAUAAUGACCAGAACUCCAAUAAUAGUAAAAUCAACCAAUAAUUUCUAAAUCUUUCAUAAUUUCCAAAACCCUUUUUGUCGUAGUAAAAUCCUUAUAAUGCCAAAAUUCCUUCAAUACCGAAUCCCUUUGAUGCAUUGAACUUUAAAAUUUGAUAAUUCUCAAUCCAACCGUUAGAUUGAGCUCAAAUUUUUUGAGAAGUAAGGCAGUACCCUUAACUCUUUUAUAUCCGAAUUUCAACUGUCGAUUCUUUACAAAACUCUAGAUAACACAAUUUCAGUAGCAUGGCCUUUACAUGUUGACUUACAAACACCUAUAUAUUGAUUUUGCGAUUUCUUACAAACCCAACACUCAAAUGACAUGAAAUUUUUUUUGUGUAGCUUCUAAAUAUUAUAACUACACCUUUGGCAAGUUCGAGCCAAAAUUCAUUCAAAAAUGCUCAAAACAAAAUGGCUCAAAACAUAACCAUGAACAAUUCGGUUUACUUACUUCCUUAAUCUGCAAGCUCUGACUUCGACUAGCCAUUUCUUCCUCACUUCAGAUCUGAUUUCAUCAAAUCUUGCACAAUAGUUGAAGCCCUUCAAGUCAACUUUCUAACUUCACCUUCCGAUUGUUAAAUGCCUUUCUACAACUCUUUGUAUACUUGAAAGAGUGACAGUAGGUACAAAUUUCAUAUCUAGACUUUAAAUAGCCAUAACUCUCUCAUUACAGACUCAAAGUUAACAACCCUUUCACAAAAAUUGUAGUCCUUCAAACCAGCUUUCCAACGAAAUCUUCCGUUUUCAAGAAAACCGUCUACAACUUUCUGUAUGCUUAAAAGAGUGACAGUUGGUAAACAAUUCACACCCUAACUUCAAACAACCUUAACUUCUUCAUACAAAAGUCAAAUAACAAACUUUAUACACCAAAAUUAUAGCCCAAAACACAAGCUUUCUGAAUCUCCCCUCUAAACCCUCGAAUGCCCCUGAAGAAGUGGCCUCCCUUUCGGUUUUCUCUCAGACAGCCCCUUGAAGCUCAUUGGUCAUGAC
rnacentral:lncRNA from 1 species